AGCAUGCAGCUUGUGAGUCGCCACGUCAGCUCGCUAGAGUAUUUAAGCAGUUCCAUAUAUAAAUUCAAGGCCUUUUCAGAAAUCUACGCAAGCCGUUUGCUCGUUAUUUCACUUUAAUGGCUGCCCCGGUUCAACCUGCCCCCGAAGCUUUGCAAGCGCUCGUUGGAGCUGCUGUCGCUCAGGGAGCUGACGCGGUUCCUGGAGACUAACAAACGCCUAUUGAAAGCAAUGAGCUCGGGCAGUUGAGAGAGCGGAUUGAGGAGCUGCGCAAGCUACAAGACUCGGGGUCUGUGGACUCAACGCUUCGCCAUCUAAGAGAAAUGUUGGCCAAGAAGUUGCCAUAGCUAAAGAGAUUCAGAAAGCGCUUAAAUCUGCGUCCUCUGCAACUCCUCGGCGCUUAGAGUCUGGCCCGUACUACUGAGACUCGUGUCCUUCUGUAAUAUGUUAUUUCUGUGGUCGCAGAGGACACAUAAGCAGAAACUGUUAUGCCAAACGAGGUGGUCGUGGCCAAGGUCGCGGCUAUUAAUAUGAUCGAGUCAUUGUUUCAAUUUCAUGUUAAUUUAUUUCUCUAUAAAGGGUUAAUUCCAGGUGUAGUUACUUCAUUUUUCCCGCUUCUCUGUGGAAUAUUUUUAUUAUACUUUAUAUCUUCACAGUUUACAUACUCGUGGUUUUUAUUACAUAUUAUUAGUGAAUGUAUUCAAUGGAAGCUAUUUUGCAUAGUUAUACACUCUUUCCGUAAUUUUAGGGGAAAUCUAAAUCAACUCCCUAUAGCUUGUCUUCGGACGGGCUUCUUAUAUCCAAUAUCGUAAGAUCGAGGUAAUUUCUCAUAUAUUUCACUGUAUUUUCGCCGGGAGAAAGGACGCCAUCGAAAAAUCGAGGUUAUUGUAAAAAAAUUUUGUUGUUUCAGAGUUUUAUAUGGGGGUUGGGGGGUGAAUUAACCCCUGCGAAAUGAACUCCCAAGAUUUGGGAGCUCCUAGGAUUUCCUAGGAUAUCCUGGAUACUCCUAAAUAUUGGGAAAUUGAAUUUGGGAGUAUCUAGGAAAACAUGGGAGCCAAAUGCGCGCCUCUGAUCAUUUGGGAGUUCCUGGGAUAUCCUAGGAACUCCCGAAUCCUCGGCUAUUCUCCUAGAUUCUCCCCAAAAGUUGGGAAACCCAGCGCUUGCUAAACAUCUCGGACAAAAUUGCACAGUUUUCUAAAAAGAGUCUUAUGGAGGACAAGCCCAUCGCAGGUUUGCUGGCAUCUCUGCUAAUUAUUAUUAUAAUAAUAGAGGGGAAGAAGGAACAACUCAACUGAAUUAUUCGCUGAUGACAACAGUAAAGAAAAUAAAUGACUUCAUAAAUCUUCUCGCGUAUGUUUAUUUUCAAAUAACAUGAUGGAAACUUGAUUUGUAAAUCACUGUUAAAGUCAAUUUAUUCAUUUCCCAAAAUUUAAUUGGAAAAAUUUUAAGGUCUACAGUCUUUCAUUUGUAUUUUGGAAUUGCUGUCGUAUGGGUAGCUCUAGCAUGGGAUAGCUGUGGUAUGCUUAGCCAAUCAGAUGCCAGGUUUUUGGCGGGCUUUUUCCCGCGCGUCGCGUUCAAAAGUGAUGUCCCGCUCGCCACAACUUCAAAAGGAGUUCAAACCAUUGUUGUGAGAGGGGUUUCGCCGAGGAUUUCACGCCAAAUACACCCAGUUUUCAUCUUAUUUUAGCACUUCUGCUGAUUAAACAACUAUCUGCAGCGGUGCAGCAAGUAGGAGACUUGGAUGCUUCUUACCAGGUGGUUGAGGAAUGCCGUUGCCACAGUAGCGAAGCCAGCACACUGGUGUCUUGGGAAGCUGGUAGACGUAGAAUGCACCGCAGUUCCUGACUUUGAUGUAGUUGCUCCAUCUGCAGCAGUUUUUAGUCCAGUGGUAGCACACCUUGCGAGUCACCAUACCUUGGGCUACAGUGGGAUGAGCUCCCACCAUCCACCCAGGCGCGUGGGUUCCACAGCGUUUUUCAAGUACACAACUUGUUGGCAUAGCAUUGCCUGCUUGUCCAGUGAAACGGUACCACAGGUUACCUGGAAACUCAUUCUUGUCACAGCGGAGGGCAUUUUGUGCGGUAUUGGCCAUUGCACGAUCGGCUCCGUGUAACAUUGUGUACGAUCUGCAUUCUAAAGAAAAACACAGCUUUUGAUUUAUCGGAUAUCAUCUUUUUUUUUUGUAAAUUGUCUUACUCGGGCAGUUGAGAGAGCGGAUUGAGGAGCUGCGUAAGCUACAAGACUCGGGGUCUGUGGACUCAACGCUUCGCCAUCUAAGAGAAAUGUUGGCCAAGAAGUUGCCAUAGCUAAAGAGAUUCAGAAAGCGCUUAAAUCUGCGUCCUCUGCAACUCCUCGGCGCUUAGAGUCUGGCCCGUACUACUGAGACUCGUGUCCUUCUGUAAUAUGUUAUUUCUGUGGUCGCAGAGGACACAUAAGCAGAAACUGUUAUGCCAAACGAGGUGGUCGUGGCCAAGGUCGCGGCUAUUAAUAUGAUCGAGUCAUUGUUUCAAUUUCAUGUUAAUGUAUUUCUCUAUAAAGGGUUAAUUCCAGGUGUAGUUACUUCAUUUUUCCCGCUUCUCUGUGGAAUAUUUUUAUUAUACUUUAUAUCUUCACAGUUUACAUACUCGUGGUUUUUAUUACAUAUUAUUAGUGAAUGUAUUCAAUGGAAGCUAUUUUGCAUAGUUAUACCACUCUUUUACGUAAUUUUAGGGGAAAUCUAAAUCAACUCCCUAUAGCUUGUCUUCGGACGGGCUUCUUAUAUCCAAUAUCGUAAGAUCGAGGUAAUUUCUUAUAUAUUUCACUGUAUUUUCGCCGGGAGAAAGGACGCCAUCGAAAAAUCGAGGUUAUUGUAAAAAUUUUUUUGUUGUUUCAGAGUUUUAUAUGGGAGUUGGGGGGUGAAUUAACCCCUGCGAAAUGAACUCCCAAGAUUUGGGAGCUCCUAGGAUUUCCUAGGAUAUCCUGGAUACUCCUAAAUAUUGGGAAAUUGAAUUUGGGAGUAUCUAGGAAAACAUGGGAGCCAAAUGCGCGCCUCUGAUCGUUUGGGAGUUCCUGGGAUAUCCUAGGAACUCCCGAAUCCUCGGCUAUUCUCCUAGAUUCUCCCCAAAAGUUGGGAAACCCAGCGCUUGCUAAACUUGCUAAACAUCUCGGACAAAAUUGCACAGUUUUCUAAAAAGAGUCUUAUGGAGGAAAAGCCCAUCGCAGGUUUGCUGGCAUCUCUGCUAAUUAUUAUUAUAAUAAUAGAGGGGAAGAAGGAACAACUCAACUGAAUUAUUCGCUGAUGACAACAGUAAAGAAAAUAAAUGACUUCAUAAAUCUUCUCGCGUAUGUUUAUUUUCAAAUAACAUGAUGGAAACUUGAUUUGUAAAUCACUGUUAAAGUCAAUUUAUUCAUUUCCCAAAAUUUAAUUGGAAAAAUUUUAAGGUCUACAGUCUUUCAUUUGUAUUUUGGAAUUGCUGUCGUAUGGGUAGCUCUAGCAUGGGAUAGCUGUGGUAUGCUUAGCCAAUCAGAUGCCAGGUUUUUGGCGGGCUUUUUCCCGCGCGUCGCGUUCAAAAGUGAUGUCCCGCUCGCCACAACUUCAAAAGGAGUUCAAACCAUUGUUUGUGAGAGGGGUUUCGCCGAGGAUUUCACGCCAAAUACACCCAGUUUUCAUCUUAUUUUAGCACUUCUGCUGAUUAAACAACUAUCUGCAGCGGUGCAGCAAGUAGGAGACUUGGAUGCUUCUUACCAGGUGGUUGAGGAAUGCCGUUGCCACAGUAGCGAAGCCAGCACACUGGUGUCUUGGGAAGCUGGUAGACGUAGAAUGCACCGCAGUUCCUGACUUUGAUGUAGUUGCUCCAUCUGCAGCAGUUUUUAGUCCAGUGGUAGCACACCUUGCGAGUCACCAUACCUUGGGCUACAGUGGGAUGAGCUCCCACCAUCCACCCAGGCGCGUGGGUUCCACAGCGUUUUUCAAGUACACAACUUGUUGGCAUAGCAUUGCCUGCUUGUCCAGUGAAACGGUACCACAGGUUACCUGGAAACUCAUUCUUGUCACAGCGGAGGGCAUUUUGUGCGGUAUUGGCCAUUGCACGAUCGGCUCCGUGUAACAUUGUGUACGAUCUGCAUUCUAAAGAAAAACACAGCUUUUGAUUUAUCGGAUAUCAUCUUUUUUUUGUAAAUUGUCUUAGUAAGUAUUUUUAUCAACAUGUCGAUCACAUACUAUUGUUUAGGAAUACUAGCUCAUUUUAUUGUAUUGUUUUUAGACGGUCAUGAAAAUUAAUAGCAUCCAAAAGUA